rnacentral:rRNA from 1 species
AUGGCGAUGCAGCAAGGAGGACGCGGCCACACCACGUCCAUGGCGGUGCUCGCCGUGGCCGUGGCGGUCCUCAUCCUGGCCGGGGCGCCGCGCACGGCGCAGGCGGCGGUGAUGGCGGCGUCGGCGGGGAUCGAGGAGGCGUGCCGGGGCGCGGCGGGCCGGGACGCGGCCGUGGACUACGAGCACUGCGUGGCCUCCCUCUCCUCCGACUCCGAGGGCCGGGACGCGGCGGACAUGCACGCGCUGGCGGCGGCGGCGACGCGGAUGGCGGUGGAGCACGCGGCGGCCACGGAGGCGCGGAUGGAGGGGCUGGGCGAGGCGGAGGGCAGCCCGCGCGCGCGCGCCAGGCUCGGCCGCUGCACGGAGCUCUACGGCGCAGCGGCCGACGUGCUCCGGGACGCGCUGGACAACAUCCGCGUGCGCGUGUACGGGCGCGCCGUGGAGCAGAUCGCGGCGGCGCUGGGCGCUGCGGAGCGGUGCGAGGACGCGUGGAAGGGCGAGGAGGAGGCGCGGGGAGGCGUCCCCGUCGCCGGGCACGACAAGGAGUACGGCCGCCUCGCCGUCAUCGCGCUCGGGCUCACCAGCGGCAUCGCCUGA